UAUGAAUUCGGAUUACAAGUCAAUCGGAUUACAAGUCAAUCGGACUUUCUUUUCUUUUUCUAUUAUUGAAUAGAUAUUCUUCUGAUUACUCUGCUAUAUGAUUUUUAUUUAAAGGACUCUCUGUUAUGCAAACCUCAUCAACCUUUGAAAUUCUUAAUGUAGGUGCCCACAGUACUUGACAAGCAGGGAGCACAACUUCUUGAUGUUGCUGUUCUUGUAGUGUCAAGAACUUGGAUUUCAGAUCGUAUAGCUUCUCUAAAUGGAACAACUGUGAAGUACGUUUUGGAGCAAGAUAAAGCAACCUUUGUACAGUUAAUUGGUGUUAGUGUCCUUCAGAGCGCUGCUUCUUCAUUUGUUGCACCUUCUUUGAGGCACUUGACUGCCAGGCUUGCACUCAAAUGGAGGAUACGCCUGACUUCACACUUACUGAAAAAUUAGUUGAGGAAGAACGCAUAUUACAAGGUUAAUCUAUAGUAAU